rnacentral:rRNA from 1 species
UGCAGUCGAGCGGACUGAUGGGAGCUUGCUCCCUGAUGUCAGCGGCGGACGGGUGAGUAACACGUGGGCAACCUGCCUGUAAGACUGGGAUAACUCCGGGAAACCGGGGCUAAUACCGGAUAACCCGUUCCACCUCAUGGUGGAGCGGUAAAAGAUGGCCUUUGGCUAUCACUUACAGAUGGGCCCGCGGCGCAUUAGCUAGUUGGUAAGGUAACGGCUUACCAAGGCGACGAUGCGUAGCCGACCUGAGAGGGUGAUCGGCCACACUGGGACUGAGACACGGCCCAGACUCCUACGGGAGGCAGCAGUAGGGAAUCUUCCGCAAUGGACGAAAGUCUGACGGAGCAACGCCGCGUGAGUGAUGAAGGUUUUCGGAUCGUAAAGCUCUGUUGUUAGGGAAGAACAAGUGCCGUUUGAAUAAGGCGGCACCUUGACGGUACCUAACCAGAAAGCCACGGCUAACUACGUGCCAGCAGCCGCGGUAAUACGUAGGUGGCAAGCGUUGUCCGGAAUUAUUGGGCGUAAAGCGCGCGCAGGCGGUCUCUUAAGUCUGAUGUGAAAGCCCACGGCUCAACCGUGGAGGGUCAUUGGAAACUGGGAGACUUGAGUACAGAAGAGGAGAGUGGAAUUCCACGUGUAGCGGUGAAAUGCGUAGAUAUGUGGAGGAACACCAGUGGCGAAGGCGACUCUCUGGUCUGUAACUGACGCUGAGGCGCGAAAGCGUGGGGAGCAAACAGGAUUA